AGGUACUUGUGUUGAACUUACUACAGUUUCAAUGAUUAGGGUAAUUUGUUUUUUGUCAAGGUUGUCUUUCAAACAGAAAUCGUGUGCAAUAUCCAAGGUAAUUUUAAAUACUCAUGCAAGUAUGAUGCAUUUGUUUUUGUAGGUAAAGUUCAUCUCUGACGAUUAUACUGAAGAGAUGUACAUAAAGCAGAAGAUGCAGUGAGUUCAUUGAUGAGAGCCAACAAACAAGAUAACUGGAACUUAUGUGGAUGGAGCAACCGAGCUGACUGAACUUCAGAGAUGCUAUGGGUCAUCAACACCACCAUUCUUCAAACCUUUAAAAAAUCCUAGGACAACAACCAUCUUGCCGGAUCAUUCUCGCCCGGAGGGGACAACAUGUCCUGAGCGCAAUUGACCUUGCCAGGGUCAGGUCACGACCUGUGAUGCCACCCAGGUCAUACCAGAGGGAAGAGGUCAUCAAAGCAACGUACGAAGUAGGGGUCAAGGUGUAAUUCCCUAUGUGACCUAUUUGGCACGUGGAUCCAGCAGCUUUGGACGCUUCUAGUUUUUCCAACCAUUUUACGGUUUCUGUCCCCCACAGAUGGGAAGACAGUGUUUGCUGACAAAAAAAGUUGAGAGCUGUACAUGUGUACGUUCUUACGUGGGAGUAUUUUGACACCCUCUUUAAUUAGUGCCAGUUGCAAUAUUCCAGAUUCGGCAAUCGAUUGCAUUGUAGAACAGCUAGUAAAAACUCAACUGGAUAUUGAGAUGCAAACGACCCAAGUAAAGUCUGCCUCACAUGGACUUCUGCCUGAAAAAAGACAGAAGUGCUGCACUUCUUCACACAUGCGCCUUGAAAAGAGCCACCCCUGCGUAUCUCAAUUGACAGAAUGGAGUUGGUAUGCAGAUGAACAGUUUGGCUCUUUUGUAGCGGUAAUGCUUGACAGAGAUGUGGACAGUAAACUGAUCAAAGGAAACUCUGCUUGUGGCAGUGUUUACAAACUUGUCUUAACCAAGAACAUAAAGAAAUAUAGCAAUACAUGAGCAUGUACUGUCCAAAGCUAGUCUUGCGUCUUGUCUAUAUGGUGCGGAUACAUACUGGGUUGUCAGCCUUUGAUACCUGCUGCUCCUUUAGUGUGUUUCCAUUACUGUUGCUUCUACACUAAUGUGGACACAAACUGGACUGAUUUCAUCCGGGGCAGUAGAGGUCUUUAGUAUGUUGCAUGUUGAAUUGAGAAAGAUGUGUCUCCACGUUUCAGGAUCAUAACCUACUAAAGAUUGUUCAGUACACAGAACUAUGUACUUAUGAUCUUGACAGAGGAGCACUGUGGAAGAGAUAUGCAGACAUCUUAAAAAAUCUCUCAUCACUUGCUGCAUCAACCACUACUAGUGUGGAAGGCAAGCUGCUGAUGAUUGUGUUAGCUGGAGAUUGGCCUUGUCAACCAGGCCCCCUACUUCAAAGGCAGCCUCAAGCAUUGGCACAUAAUUGGAGAAGCAGCAGAUGUUAGAGAAACUGUGAUGUUUCAGCACUGUUUAGCAUAGGCUGUAUUAGCUACCAUACUACCUAAGUGCCUUUCAUGCAGACCUCCAGCUGACUCAGUGCUUGUGUACAGUCAUCACCAACAAAGAUGAUAUGAUGGAUGUGACUUGCAAUAGACUGAACUUCUGAUUCGUUUGUACAGGUUUCUGUGCUUGGCCACGUUACAGUGCCGUCAUCCAGCCUUCAAGCAUGGUUCAGAAGCCAUGAACCACAAAUCAGCAUGUUUCCUUCCAGUUUCCAAUGAGCACUCUGACAGCAUCACUUAGCAUGCCAGUAUUCAACAUUGUGCAGAUCAUCUCUGUAAAGAUGGCUGUGUUGCUUCAGUUGCCACAUCUCUACGUAUGUUCUUCCUGUUAGCAAAGGCACACUGUGACAGCAUCCACUUUCUACAUGCUAAUACAUGCACAGUAUUGUUCAGGGAAAGACAUAUGCAAACCUAUCAGCUUCCAAAGUCGGCAACAUCCUGCUGUCACUACAGUCUCAGCACCUACCAGCUCCCACUCUGUCAGCAACAUCCUGCUGUCACAUGUCCAGCUACCGGUACUUGAAGUUACUGUGUGCUUGUACAUUCUCAGCACCUACUAGCUCUCACUCUGUCGGCAACAUCCUGCUGUCACAUGUCCAGCUAUUGGUACUCGGAGUUACUAUUUGCUUGUACUUUCUCAGCACCUACCAGCUCCCACUCUGUCAGCAACAUCCUGUCCAGCUACCGGCACUUGGAGUUAUAGUGUGCUUGUACAUUCUCAGCACCUACUAGCUCCCACUCUGUCAACAACAUCCUGCUGUCACACCUCCAGAUAUGUGGAGUUAUUGUGCUUUUACAGUCUCAGCCAGUAUUGGAUUGCAAGUUGUCUUAUGCUGCUACAACCUACACAUUUAGCAUUCUCUUGAACCUUGAGGAACCACCAUAUGAACAAAGAGACAGUCUCUGAAACACUCAUAAUAAACCUGUCACGGUGGUUUGUUGAACAUUCGUAUUAUUUGGAGGACUUGCAAUUAGCUCAUAUAGUCAACUAGCUAUUCCAGUCCUCUGGAAUUUGCUUGAGGUUAUUCUAUACUAGUAGCAAGCCUUUUUUGUGCACGGUCAAGAGUAGAUCGAGAAAGCAGUUGUUUUUAAGGGCAAAACAAUUGUUCUUGUUCCUUGAAAAAGUUGGUCAAAACAUUUUCCCAACCAUUUUUUUAUUUAAACAGUAAGAUAAAGGGCAACGAGGACUGUUUAAUGCCAUUUCUACAUGGUAGAAAAACAAUUCAAUGCUAAUUUUUAUCCAAGAUAUUCAAAGUUUUGGUGUUAUUGGCAAAGAGAGUACCCGCAAGAGUGGUUGUGACAUGUACAUGCAAAACUGUUUGCAAUGAUUAUGCUAUUAUUAUGAUAAAAAUGGUGCAAAGUACGGCGUUAAAAUGGGCUCUCUCCUUGUACAUAGCACAAUACAUAAGUGAUUGUGAUCAUAAAUGUAUUGAAUUACAUAAAAUACAAUUGUGGAUAAAUAUUUGGUAAUUUGGGGGA